rnacentral:rRNA from 1 species
CAGUAGCCACGGUAAUACGUAGGGCGCAAGCGUUGUCCGGAAUUAUUGGGCGUAAAGAGCUCGUAGGCGGUCUGUCGCGUCUGGUGUGAAAUCCCGAGGCUCAACCUCGGGCUUGUAUCGGGUACGGGCAGACUAGAGUGCGGUAGGGGAGACUGGAAUUCCUGGUGUAGCGGUGGAAUGCGCAGAUAUCAGGAGGAACACCGAUGGCGAAGGCAGGUCUCUGGGCCGCAACUGACGCUGAGGAGCGAAAGCAUGGGGAGCGAACAGGAUUAGAUACCCCCGUAGUCCCUGUCUCUUAUAC